UUUGGGUUUUACACAAAUACGUAUUCCAUUCUGUUAAACUAUAUGUUUAACUACCAAAAAUACUCCCAACUACACACUCACAAUCAAACAAACUAUUAAAUCAUCAGAAGAUCCAGAAUAAUAAAGUGCAUGCUUAAUUAUCGGAAGAAGUAGAAUCAAGAAGCUUGUUAACUCAAUCUUGUAUGCUUAUAAAGUAAUUACAGUAUAUUGGAGUAGGAAUUGGAUCCGGCACCGAAGGCAUCAAGAAGUGGCUUAUUUUAUUAAUUAAAUCAAAUUAAGAAAUAUCAUUUUUAAAGCUACCUUUGUAAAACAUGGGUUUAUUCCAUCUAUUUAAUAAAUAAAAUCCGGUGUU
rnacentral:lncRNA from 1 species